CGCAAGCCUGACGGAGCAAGACCGCGUGGGGGAGGAAGGCUCUAGGGUUGUAAACCCCUUUUCUUUGGGAAGAACAAAAUGACGGUACCAAAGGAAUCAGCCUCGGCUAACUCCGUGCCAGCAGCCGCGGUAAUACGGAGGAGGCAAGCGUUAUCCGGAAUGAUUGGGCGUAAAGCGUCCGCAGGUGGCUUGUCAAGUCCGCUGUCAAAGACUGGGGCUUAACUCCGGGCAGGCAGUGGAAACUGACAGGCUAGAGUGCAGGAGGGGUAGAGGGAAUUCCCGGUGUAGCGGUGAAAUGCGUAGAGAUCGGGAAGAACACCGGUGGCGAAAGCGCUCUGCUGGGCCGCAACUGACACUGAGGGACGAAAGCUAGGGGAGCG
rnacentral:rRNA from 1 species